rnacentral:rRNA from 1 species
UACGUAGGGGGCAAGCGUUGUCCGGAGUUACUGGGCGUAAAGCGCACGCAGGCGGUCUCUUAAGUUUGGAGUGACAGUUGGUGGCUUAACUGCCAAAGUGCUUCGAAAACUGAGAGACUUGAGGGCUUCAGAGGGGCACGGAAUCCGGGUGGAGUGGUGAAAUGCGUAGAGAUCCGGAGGAACACCAAAGGCGAAGGCAGUGUCCUGGGGAGUACCGUGACGCUCAGGUGCGAAAGCCAGGGGAGCGGAACAGGA